CGGGUGGAAAGCGAGGUCGCGCGCUGCGUUUCGCUCGGGGGUCAAACGCUCCGCCCCGCCGCUCGCGUCUCAUUGGCCGUCGGGAAGGAGUUGUUUUGUUUUCGCUCCACGCGCUCAAUCGCGGCUGCACGUGAAUGCAGUAACAGAGGGAGCAUAUUAUCUGGAGAUGCAACCAAGCGGGUGUCAAUGAAGUGUUAUAUAGUAUAAAUAAAGCGUGAAGGAUUUCCUUCAUAAGAAGGUGCAGACUGACGGAUGGAUGAAGGGUGAUGAUGCAUAAACACAACGGCUUGGAGAUGAGUGAACAUCCAGACCAGAGACCACCAUCCUGUGUUCCGCUUCACAGAUGCUACACAGGGCUUCAGGCUCGAGUGAACACACACACAGAGACCCACAUAAACACUUAUUUGAAUGCUGUUCUAUAUUUUGUGAGGAUCAGGUUAUUGUGAGGAUAAUUCUGGUUGUCAUGAAAGGAUAAAGACAUUUAUAUACACACACAAAACAAACACAUACAAACAUAUAUGAAAAGUGCGCCAAAUCCGAAGGAAUCCAAUCAGGAACUGCUUUAAACUCUUCACCCUCCAGGAUUAGGCGAGCUAGAGAAGGCUGGCUCAGUGCUGGGAGAGAAAAAGAAGAAAUAAAAGACAGAUAGAGGACAACUGGCUUGUCAGCCCUCAGGGAAAUACUACAGCAAUAUUUUCUCAUUUAAUCCUGGCUAAAUCUGCAGCAGCUGUGGUGCCACACAGAGCCAUGGCAUCACUGAUGCACAAGUUGACGUCUGUUGUAGUGCUUCUACAUCACUGGGACUCCGAGCGCAUACAUAAUUAAAUCGGGUGUGAAUAAUUAACAUGUACAAUCGCAAACAAUGUGCAAUCUGAUCCUGAAGCAUGAAUAUCAAUAUAUACCUAUAUUAAUUAUUUAAUCUAUACACAGUUUAAUUUUACAUGAUAGAUAUAAGAAUCUCAUGUUCUCAAACCUUGAUGAGACCUAUGUGUCUGGUGCUCAGGUUUACACCUGCCAUGUUUUGUACAGUUUUCCAUAUUUUAGAGUAAAAAUUAGCACUCAACAUCCAUAUUUUUAGGAACACCUAAAACUCAGUUAUUCAAGUUAUCCAAACAGAAUUACAUCAAAUCAUACACAUACAAGACAAGAGCUUUGAUUAAAGUUUGUAUCAAACAUCAGAAUAAAAAACACGCUGUGCAACCAUAAUGAGCUGAAAAGCAUCUCAGAGUGAUCCCAUAUUAUAUCCCACUCCCAGAACAGGAGUCUGAGUCUGCAGUGGGAAA